GAGCAUGCUAUGAAGGUAAUACGUUUAUCCGCAUUUUCACUCAACGUGUAACGAUUAUGCUUCUCAUUAAUUUUUGUACAACAUAUCAAACCGCUGAUGACGUGUCUAAUAGUUGCCAAAGAAAGUUAAAAGAAACAUACCAAAAGUCAGACAUAUUCAUUUUCUCAAGCAAUUUCUCAAGACGCUGUGUACGCUGUGAACGCCUAACUUAGCCGGAUAAUAUAGGAGCGCCUUGACCACCUAGCAAGGUGGAUAUGUGCGCAAUAUGAAUACCCUAUAUUAUUAUUGUUAUUUUGGAAACCUUUAAACCCCCAGAAAAUCCCUGGAAGUACUCCUUACCAACUGUUCUCUUAACCAGUAUCGUCCCUGUAGCAAUUGUUCUAUUCUGUGCCUUGAUCGCGCUCCUCUCUCUCAGAAGACGUUUAUGUAACAUCGGAUCAUCAACACUAGAAAAUUAUGCUAUGACCAAUAUACAAACCCCUACUCAAACCAAAAUCCCGGAGGCGGAUACUUACACUGACCUUGCAAUCGAUGAACGAGUAUCCGACGAUGGAUCCGGUUACCAAGAACUUCGUCAAAAGGCACGCCAAUCGAAGAAACGUAACAUGGAUUCGAAGGAUUAUGUGAAUGUUCCAAUAGGUCCUGUUGGUAGGAAAUAU